UUAAAGUUUUAUUUUGAUUUAAAAAUUAAAUAUAAUUUUGAUUUAUAUAUAAAUUUUAGUAAUAUGGUUUAAGAAUUUUAAAUAAGUUUUUAAUUUAAAUAUUUAGUAAUAAUUAAUUUUAAUAAUUAAGGAAACUUAGAUUUAGCAAUAAUUAUUAAUAUUAACAAUAUUUGUGCCAGCAGUUGCGGUUAUACAAAUAAUGUAGUUUAAUUUUUUUUGGUUUUAAUAAAUUUAAAUAUUUGAGGAUUUUAUAAUAAGAUUUAUUAGGUGAAAUUUUAAAUUUUAAUAAAAUUUUAUUUGAAUAAAUUAUUUAGGAAGUUUUAUUUUUAAACUAGGAUUAGAUACCCUAUUAUUUUUAAUGUAAAUAUAUUAGGCUAGAUUAGUAUUAGUUAUGUUCUUGAAAAUUAAAAAAUUUGGCGGUAUUUUAGUCUAUUCAGAGGAAUCUGUUCUGUAAUCGAUAAUCCACGAUUAAAUUUACUUAUUUUUAGUUUGUAUAUCGUCGUAGGUUAAAUAUUUUAGUAGAAUAUAAAUAUUUAAAAUUUUUAAUUAAGAAAAUAAAUCAGAUCAAGGUGCAGCUUGUAAAUAAGAAGAAAUGGAUUACAAUAAAUUUAUUUAAUUGAAUAAAUGUUUUUAAAGUAUUUUGAAAUUGGAUUUGAAUGUAAUUUUUAUUAUAUAAUAGAAAUGAUUUAAGCUCUAAAAUAUGUACAUAUCGCCCGUCGCUUUCAUUAUAAAGUGAAAUAAGUCGUAACAAAGUAGGUCUACUGGAAUGUGGACCUGGAAUGA
rnacentral:ncRNA from 1 species